UAUAACAGGGCUGUCUGAAGUUUGUUCAAGGCGGAAAGAAUGCGAGCACUGGACAGCACGUGUGUUGACCCAUUGGGAGUAAAUCUUUACGUGUGCCCGUCUGACCACUUCUAUUGGGUGCCAGAUCAGUUGAGCAAAGGUUCUCAAGAUGAAGAUCAGACGCUUUAUAGGAACUAUGAAGGAGAGAUGCGCAAAAAAGUUGUGGAAAAGAGUCACGUCUCCAAUGUGAACGCAGUUGUUUUAAUAGGAAAUGGAUAUUAGGCCUAAUGAUGACUUUAGCGGGCUGAAGAGAAAUGUGACCGUUAACCACCGAGCUGAUGAAAACUGAUAUCAAUGUUCUCAAAAGAUGAGUGAUGUUUCGGAGGUGCUGCGUUGCUCUUUGAUGUGAGGAAGGAAGGUUGAGAAAGAGAAAGCUGUCCAGCACAAGCCACCCUCAUUAGUGUCCAGCACCCGAAGACACAGGUCACAAAACCCAAUGAACUGGCCAUUUGAUUCAGCUCUGCAGACACUCAGCCCUAAUACUGCGGUUCGCUCUGACAGCACAUCAUACGCAACACUCAAAGCAGCUUGAAUAACCCUUGGACCGCAUACGGAGUGCAUUAUUUUUUAUGACGAAACCGCUAUAGGGUCCAACUUUUCAACCUGCUUGUAGAUUACAUUCAUUCAAUAAAUUGUGCAUUUUUGAUUUUCUCAACAAAAAAAAGCACAGGUCUUGUGAUUUAUUUGCUGAACUGCGGGUGAUGAAAUAUUUAAUAUCCUGGGUAUUAAAAUGAUCAGUCUCGGAUCCAUUGAGAGGCUUGACAUGCUGGAAUCAGUAGCUCACUAAGGGACUGCAGAACGGGGGAAUUAUUGCUUCAGUCUGAACAUGUCACCUCUACAAUAUUUCCACCAUUAUAAUGUACAAUUAUCCUUUUCUUUCCGUUUCUCGGAUCGACGUUUUCCUCUGGCUUGUCAUUGUUCCACAUUUUCAGGCGCACAAUAUGAAAGAACAAUAAUGUCUAGUUUCAAUGUCAUUGCCCGGUUUUGAUUUAUGCACGUACUGUAGGUAUUUCACAUGCGUAAUGCAAAGUAGAUCUCGCUCGCUCGCUCGCUCUCUCUCGUCUGUUUAGCCGCACAUCAUGUGACUAAGGUAAAAAUGAGCUUGAUGUUUGCCGUUUUCUCGGAGUUGCAUCAGGAAGUGGUCAAGAUGCAAGGAAUGAAGCUGCUUUGGUCUGGAAAUGAGAGUUCAUGUAUUCUGCUCUUUCUGCAUGUGUCACAAAGAGUUGAUCACAUGGGAGUCGGCCAAAACACCUGAACACAAAGCCGGGCAUUGUGUGUCGCGCUGACCUCAGUGUCAUGUGACUCUGAGAUGGCCAGGUGUUGUCUGGAUCUGGAGCAAAAGAAAAAGACCAAACCGAAAACAAACUAAAGGAACGGUGAGGGAAAACAUGCCUGGAACUAAAUAAAAUGCAGGGAGAGUGUGAAUCUCAUUAUUCAAAAGGCCAUACUAAAAUUUGAGGAUUCAGAAUUUUCGAACUGGUAAUACGCCAUGCUGUUACAGUCACAAUAAACAUUUGUUACAUUUAACACAUUUAACCCUUGUGCACUGUUCAA